rnacentral:rRNA from 1 species
UACGGGGGGGGCAAGCGUUGUUCGGAAUUACUGGGCGUAAAGGGCUCGUAGGCGGCCAACUAAGUCGGACGUGAAAUCCCCAGGCUCAACCUGGGAACUGCGUCCGAUACUGGAUGGCUUGAAUUCGGGAGAGGGAUGCAGAAUUCCAGGUGUAGCGGUGAAAUGCGUAGAUAUCCGGAGGAAUACCGGUGGCGAAGGCGGCAUCCUGGACCGACAUUGACGCUGAGGAGCGAAAGCUAGGGGAGCAAACGGG